rnacentral:rRNA from 1 species
ACUUUCAACCAACGGAUCUCUUAGUUUUGGCCUCGAUGAAGAACGCAGCGAAAUGCGAUAAGUAAUGUGAAUUGCAGAAUUCAGUGAAUCAUCGAAUCUUUGAACGCACAUUGCGCCCGCCAGCAUUCUGGCGGGCAUGCCUGUUCGAGCGUCAUUUCAACCCUCGACUUCCCUUUGGGGAAAUCGGCGUUGGGGACCGGCCGUAUACCGCCGGCCCCGAAAUGAAGUGGCGGCCCGUCCGCGGCGACCUCUGCGUAGUAAUCCAACUCGCACCGGAACCCCGACGUGGCCACGCCUUAAAACCCCCGACUUCUGAACAUUGACCUCUGAUCUUGUAGGUAUACCCGAUGAACUUAAGAUAUCAAUAAA